rnacentral:rRNA from 1 species
CCUACGGGAGGCAGCAGUGGGGAAUAUUGCACAAUGGGCGCAAGCCUGAUGCAGCAACGCCGCGUGAGUGAUGACGGCCUUCGGGUUGUAAACCGCUUUUGACUGGGAGCAAGCCCUUCGGGGUGAGUGUACCUUUCGAAUAAGCACCGGCUAACUACGUGCCAGCAGCCGCGGUAAUACGUAGGGUGCAAGCGUUAUCCGGAAUUAUUGGGCGUAAAGGGCUCGUAGGCGGUUCGUCGCGUCCGGUGUGAAAGUCCAUCGCUUAACGGUGGAUCCGCGCCGGGUACGGGCGGGCUUGAGUGCGGUAGGGGAGACUGGAAUUCCCGGUGUAACGGUGGAAUGUGUAGAUAUCGGGAAGAACACCAAUGGCGAAGGCAGGUCUCUGGGCCGUCACUGACGCUGAGGAGCGAAAGCGUGGGGAGCGAACAGGAUUAGAUACCCUGGUAGUCCACGCCGUAAACGGUGGAUGCUGGAUGUGGGGACCAUUCCACGGUCUCCGUGUCGGAGCCAACGCGUUAAGCAUCCCGCCUGGGGAGUACGGCCGCAAGGCUAAAACUCAAAGAAAUUGACGGGGGCCCGCACAAGCGGCGGAGCAUGCGGAUUAAUUCGAUGCAACGCGAAGAACCUUACCUGGGCUUGACAUGUUCCCGACAGCCCCAGAGAUGGGGCCUCCCUUCGGGGCGGGUUCACAGGUGGUGCAUGGUCGUCGUCAGCUCGUGUCGUGAGAUGUUGGGUUAAGUCCCGCAACGAGCGCAACCCUCGCCCUGUGUUGCCAGCACGUCGUGGUGGGAACUCACGGGGGACCGCCGGGGUCAACUCGGAGGAAGGUGGGGAUGACGUCAGAUCAUCAUGCCCCUUACGUCCAGGGCUUCACGCAUGCUACAAUGGCCGGUACAACGGGAUGCGACCUCGUGAGGGGGAGCGGAUCCCUUAAAACCGGUCUCAGUUCGGAUUGGAGUCUGCAACCCGACUCCAUGAAGGCGGAGUCGCUAGUAAUCGCGGAUCAGCAACGCCGCGGUGAAUGCGUUCCCGGGCCUUGUACACACCGCCCGUCAAGUCAUGAAAGUGGGUAGCACCCGAAGCCGGUGGCCCAACCUUUUGGGGGGAGCCGUCUAAGGUGAGACUCGUGAUUGGGACUAAGUCGUAACAAGGUAGCCGUACCGGAAGGUGCGGCUG